GGGGCUUAGCGUUACCUCGCGGCGAGUGAAGCGGCAAAAGCUCAAAUUUGAAAUCUGGCACUUUCAGUGUCCGAGUUGUAAUUUGAAGAAGGUAUCUUUGGGUCUGGCUCUUGUCUAUGUUUCUUGGAACAGAACGUCACAGAGGGUGAGAAUCCCGUGCGAUGAGAUGUCCCAGACCUAUGUAAAGUUCCUUCGAAGAGUCGAGUUGUUUGGGAAUGCAGCUCUAAGUGGGUGGUAAAUUCCAUCUAAAGCUAAAUAUUGGCGAGAGACCGAUAGCGAACAAGUACAGUGAUGGAAAGAUGAAAAGAACUUUGAAAAGAGAGUGAAAAAGUACGUGAAAUUGUUGAAAGGGAAGGGCUUGAGAUCAGACUUGGUAUUUUGUAUGUUACUCUCUCGGGGGUGGCCUCUACAGUUUACCGGGCCAGCAUCAGUUUGAGCGGUAGGAUAAGUGCAAAGAAAUGUGGCACUGCUUCGGUAGUGUGUUAUAGUCUUUGUCGAUACUGCCAGCUUAGACUGAGGACUGCGGCUUCGGCCUAGGAUGUUGGCAUAAUGAUCUUAAGUCGCCCGUUAAAAAAAAAAAAAAAAAAA
rnacentral:rRNA from 1 species